rnacentral:tRNA from 1 species
GUAGACAUAGUUUUAAACAAAACAUUAGAUUGUGAUUCUAAAAAUAGAAGUUAAAAUCCUCUUGCCCACC